rnacentral:rRNA from 1 species
AUUCCAGCUCCAAUAGCGUAUAUUAAAGUUGUUGCAGUUAAAAAGCUCGUAGUUGGAUUUCUGGUCUGAUGCCCUGGCCCGCCUCAAUUUCGAGGUGAGUGCCGGCUGUGCGUCUACCAUCCUUCUAGAAAACGUUCCUACCCUUCACUGGGCCGGGUUCGCGAUCUAGAUCUUUUACUUUGAAAAAAUUAGAGUGUUUAAAGCAGGCUUUUGCUAUGAAUACAUUAGCAUGGAAUAAUAAUCUAGGACUUCGGUUCUAUUUUGUUGGUUUCUAGUACUGAAGUAAUGAUUGAUAGGGAUAGUUGGGGGUGCUAGUAUUGAGCGGCCAGAGGUGAAAUUCUUGGAUUCGCUCAAGACUAACUUAUGCGAAAGCAUUCACCAAGGAUGUCUUCAUCG